UACGUAGGGUGCAGGCGUUAAUCGGAAUUACUGGGCGUAAAGCGUGCGCAGGCGGUUUCUUAAGUCAGCUGUGAAAUCCCCGGGCUCAACCUGGGCACUGCAGUUGAAACUGGCAAGCUAGAGUAGGGUAGAGGGGUGUGGAAUUCCAGGUGUAGCGGUGAAAUGCGUAGAUAUCUGGAGGAACAUCAGUGGCGAAGGCGACACCCUGGACUCGAUACUGACACUGAGGUGCGAAAGCGUGGGGAGCAAACAGG
rnacentral:rRNA from 1 species